rnacentral:rRNA from 1 species
GACGAACGCUGGCGGCGUGCUUAACACAUGCAAGUCGAACAGAAAGGCCCUGCUUUUGUGGGGUGCUCGAGUGGUGAACGGGUGAGUAACACGUGAGUAACCUGCCCUUGACUUUGGGAUAACUUCAGGAAACUGGGGCUAAUACCGGAUAGGAGCUCCUGCUGCAUGGUGGGGGUUGGAAAGUUUCGGCGGUUGGGGAUGGACUCGCGGCUUAUCAGCUUGUUGGUGGGGUAGUGGCUUACCAAGGCUUUGACGGGUAGCCGGCCUGAGAGGGUGACCGGCCACAUUGGGACUGAGAUACGGCCCAGACUCCUACGGGAGGCAGCAGUGGGGAAUAUUGCACAAUGGGCGGAAGCCUGAUGCAGCAACGCCGCGUGCGGGAUGACGGCCUUCGGGUUGUAAACCGCUUUCGCCUGUGACGAAGCGUGAGUGACGGUAAUGGGUAAAGAAGCACCGGCUAACUACGUG